GAGCUCCUGCCAGUUCCCAUGGGAACUCUAUCAGGCUGUGAAAAACAUACCAGAAUUCUCAGAAAAGAAGGAAACAGUACGUAAAGUUCUCUCCAAGCUCUUGCUUACCCACGCCCACUCCCACUUCCUCACUAAGUCAGGCACCCAAGUCAGGGCCAACCCAGUCAAGGGCCAAAGAGCACCUAGGCUCAAAAAGACAAUCUUAAGAAGAAGGGCAAGCAAUAGACUUUAAACUUGUUAGACUGGCUUUGAAGGCAACAGGGCCUAAGCAAAAGAGAAUGCUGGCUGCUGUUUCUCAUAAAAAUUCACUCUCUAUUCCUCCCCACUUUCCCACAUGUUGCCUUUUCGGUUGCCCCUCUCUCUAGCUUUCAACCAACCUUAUCAAGACAGAGACUAGAACCAGUUUGUUGUGGUCGUCAUAUUAUAUACUGCUCGCUGUUCUUAAUUUUCCUAAGCCCUGACUCAGUAGUUUGCAAUUAUCGAUUGAGUUCUGAUGAUAUGCCAAACAUUGUACCUAAUGCUUAACAUAUAGUACCUCACUUAAUGCUCAUGACAGGUCUGUGUUAGGCAAUGUUACCCCAGAGAUUCAAACCCAUGUCUGUUUGGUUCCAAAGUCCAUAUGCUAAACCACUACAAAUAGCCAACAUUAAGAUAUUGAUUAAACAUUCACUUGAUAUUAAAUGACAAAAGUAUCUCAGGUAGAAGUCUAAGGACACAGGAAAACCAUCAAAGUGAAGGUUACAAAACAACAACACCAUGCCUAGAGUUUCACUGAAGCCAGGCUCAAAGUCUCUCAGGAUGAGGAAAUUAAAGAAAGCAGGCGACAAGGAAACCAGCUCCCUGGCUUAGAACUACAAUUCUUUAAGACCUUCUAGAUACAGGACAAAUCCAACAUCUUCUGUGAAGACUUGAUGGGGAUCAAACCAGAUUCCCGACGUCAGGGACUGCGAGCUGAACAAAAAGUAAGGUCAUAAAACCUCAUGGGGGAGAUGCCUUCCUAUAUUCGGGGGAAGGAAAAGAGCAUCCUUAUUUCCAAAGAAAAGACGACAUUGUGAAGAAUCAAAACCAACAGGCCUUGACACUUCCCUCGUAUUCUUUCACCCAUCAAAUUUCUACCAGGCAAUCCAUUCUUCACUGACCCAGCAUAAAAAUACUCAGGUCUGGGGGCGCCUGGGUGGCGCAGUCGGUUAAGCAUCCAACUUCAACCAGGUCACGAUCUCGCGGUCCGUGAGUUCGAGCCCCGCGUCAGGCUC